rnacentral:piRNA from 1 species
UUUUCAAGGUACGUAACUUAA